rnacentral:rRNA from 1 species
AGCGGCGGACGGGUGAGUAACGCGUGGGUAACCUGCCUCAUACAGGGGGAUAACAGUUGGAAACGGCUGCUAAUACCGCAUAAGCGCACAGUACCGCAUGGUACGGUGUGAAAAACUCCGGUGGUAUGAGAUGGACCCGCGUCUGAUUAGGUAGUUGGUGGGGUAACGGCCUACCAAGCCGACGAUCAGUAGCCGACCUGAGAGGGUGACCGGCCGCAUUGGGACUGAGACACGGCCCAA